UUCCCUACUGAGUAUUUGAAUAUUAUUGGCUGCUGUUGUGGAAUAUUUCUUAACAUAUUUGCCCUACUCAUACCUCAUAAAGUUUGGUUAUUAAUAAAUCAAAAAUUCCAGGAGUUUAAUAGAGCUGAAAUGGGAAGUGAUCCAAAACAAGAAUAAUAUAACUUUACAUGCAGAACUAACAUUAUUCUUAUUGGUAUACAUAUGCAUAUGUAAUCCUGGUCUGCAUGUAAAUAUACAUAUAUGCUGCUUCUCUGGAUGUGUAUAUACGUAUAUGCUCUUCCUCUGGACAUACAUAUGCAUAUGCUUUCUUCUGGGUAUGCUUAUGGGUUUUCAUUCAAAGCCAAUGCAAUUCUGUUUGUCUUAUCACCAAUUAAAUCUCUGGCUUGCCCAUUUCAGGAGAAAGCUUGCUCUGUUGCUUUAGAUAACAUUGUGGCAGGUAGUACUAUAUUAUAGAUGGCAUAAUCAGACUUGUAUUUAUACAGCUUGCAAACCUUUCUGUAGAAAUGACCGCUAACGAGUCUCUCUCAGAGUUAUACUACCUUAUUUUUUCCCCUUCUCACAAAGGUCAGGGGAACUAAAGAACUGUGUUUAAUUGAAUAAAAAUAGUUGUUUCUCUUCUUACUGAUCCUGGCCACAGAGCCAUCUGGUUUUUCUAGCCUGGUCAAUACAGUUAAUUAGACAGACAUGCCUUUUAUUGGGGAGUAAUCAGUGUGGAAGGAACCUUUGGAGAGAACUAAGUUGAUCAGCACACAUCAAGUAGUAAUGGAUUGAUGUGUUUCCUUCAGGAGAUGGUGGGGAAUUGUGAGAGCCAUGCAGACACGCAUACCACACACACUGUAGACACACAUACCACAUGCACACACACACGCACACACACACAAUUUUGUGUGUGCCUGUCUUUCCACCCAUCCAUCCAUCUAUCUACAUAAAUGUCAAAAAAGAAGCAAGAGAUUUUUCUUUUACCAAAGGGCUUGUUGAGACCUUUUCAGAGUAUGAAUUGGACUAUGUCUGGUGGGUGGCUUGUACCUUUUGAUUUUUUUCCUUUUAACUCAGAUAGGAAAUCGGUUUUUGUUUAUAACCAUAUUUUUAAAAUUAUAUAAAACUUACAGUGUAGCUGCCAAGAAUUUACCUGUACUCCAGAUAGUCCUUUGAAAUAAUUUUUCCUAUAAGAAGCCAUUUAGAUCUUUCUUUGAGUAUUCAAUACACUAAAUUUGUGUGUGUGUGUGUGUACACAUACGUGUAUAUGUUUGUCUUCAAUGAUUCUUAUGUCAUCUUCUCAACUAGUAAAAGCACCUUGCAACAGAAAGAGACAUUUCUAGACAAAGUGUUAAGAGAUGAAGACGAGCUCUAGAAAGAUGGUGUCUUAGUUACUUUUCUAUUGCUGUGCUAACACACAGUGAGUGACCAGAACAACAUAUAAAAAAGAAAAAGAGGUUCAUGUUUCUCAUAGUUUCCGAGGGUUAGAGCUCAUGAUGGUAUUAUCAGCUGUGAGCUCACCUCUUGAUCCACAAGUAGUGGGGCCAGGGAGAGUGAGGGAGUGAAGAGAGAGAGCAUAAGCAAGAGAGAGAGAGCGCUUCCUUCCAAAAGGCCACAUCUCUAAGUCCUUUUCAAAUAAUUCUACCAACUGGGGACCGAGUAUUCAAAUAUUCGAGCCUAUGGAGGCUGUUUUUGUUCAAGCCAUUACAAAUAACCCAGUGGUAAAGAGCACCCGUUGCUCUUGCAGAAGACCCAGGUUCAAGUCCUAGACCCCUGUGGUAGCUCGCAGCCAUCUGCAUCUCCAGAUCCAGGGGAGCUGAUGCAUGCACAUGGUACACUUACUUACACAGUGCAGGUCAAACAUUUGUAUAUACAAAUUUUAAAACAUCUUUAAAUAUGAGAGAUGAAAAAGUAGGGGCUACAGAAAUGGCUCAGUGGUUAAAAGCACAUCCUGUUCUUCCAGAAGACCUGAAUUCAGUUCCCAUCACCAACAGCAGGCAGCUCAUAGCCACCUGUAACUCCAGUCCAGGCCUCCAGGCACCUGCACUCACACAUAGACAUAGUUAAAUUAGUUAAAUACACACACACAUAUACACACACCACAUACAUACACGUGUAUAUUUUUUUUUCCUUUUUAAUUUGAAAAAGAGAAAUGAAGAAAUGGGCAGAAGUUGUUGGCGCGAACAUUGCUUUUUAUCAUAGCACCAGAAAGUAGAGUAUGGCCUAAAUCACUGUUGCCUUAUAGGUUAGCACACUUACAGUGUAUCAGGGCAAGCAAGCCCACGCAGCUCCCUGUGUGGUCCUCUUUUUUAUGACACCCAUUGUGAAGGAGUGAUUGUUGAGCCCUUGUACUUGAUCAAGUUAGUAUUUGUGUACUGACGUGGAUUAGGUUAAACUUCCCUGUGAGCAGUGAAAUGAGUCAUUGUGGAGACAACAGCUAAGCUUUGAUACUAGCUGGAAAAAGAUUGUGGAGAAUACAGACUGUACAACCCAUGCUCGGUUUUGUAUUGUUAUCUUUCUAGCCCAAAGCCAGACAAAGUAUGUCUCCUUUGCCCCAAGGUAGUAUAUGGUUCUCCUUUUCCUCAGUUCUAAGUAUUUGGGAGAAAUGGAGACACUGUUGCCUAUGUAUUGUAUUUGAAAUAGUCUCCCUCUGGCAUCUCCCUGUUCUAUUCUACCUUAUAAGGUAAAGGCUCCUAAGAACUGAGAUUUGAGGGGAGGGGGGUUGUUUGCUUUGAGAAAGGGUCUCUCUAAAAGAAAGAGAAACCAAUACAGACAGACAGACAGACAGACAGAGAGAGAUUACACCUCUGCUUUAUGAAGUUCAGCUUUAUGGUUUAGUACAAGUGAUUAUGAAUGUUAAUGAGAGCAUGGACUGUAGAUUUCUCUUGGGAGUGAUUGGCAUUAGAGCUCUUCUGUCUCUGUUUCUACAGCAGAAAUCUUUCAGAGAGCACACCAGGACUUCAGUGCCGUGAGCACUGACCAUUGCCAGGCCUCACUAAGUCUGAUGUUUCAUCCAGCCCAGACCUAGGAGGCAACCUUAGGAAAGGAAGCUCUACUCCCAGUGGUGAGGUUAAAUGUGUCACUACCUCAGGGCCCACUUGAGAUAAUCUUCUACACACAUUGAAAAAAGUGGAGCCUAAUGACAAAGGCCUGUGGUGGCAAGUUCAAGGUCAGACCGGCAAGCUAGUAAGACACAGUCUCAGAACAAGUUUUAAAAGGUCAGGAGGAAGGCCCCUUGGUCUUGCAAACUUUAUAUGCCUCAGAACAGGGGAACGCCAGGGCCAAGAAGUUGGGGCGGGGAGGGCAUGGGGGACUUUUGGGAUAGCAUUGGAAAUGUAAAUGAAGAAAAUACCUAAUAAAUUUUUUAAAAAAUGG
rnacentral:lncRNA from 1 species